rnacentral:rRNA from 1 species
AUUGAACGCUGGCGGCAGGCUUAACACAUGCAAGUCGAACGAGCGGCGGACGGGUGAGUAAUGUCUGGGAAACUGCCUGAUGGAGGGGGAUAACUACUGGAAACGGUAGCUAAUACCGCAUACCAUCAGAUGUGCCCAGAUGGGAUUAGCUAGUAGGUGGGGUAAUGGCUAACCUAGGCGACGAUCCCUAGCUGGUCUGGGAGGAUGACCAGCCACACUGGAACUGAGACACGGUCCAGACUCCUACGUGAGGCAGCAGUGGGGAAUAUUGCACAAUGGGCGCAAGCCUGAUGCAGCCAUGCCGCGUGUAUGAAGAAGGCCUUCGGGUUGUAAAGUACUUGCAGCGAGGAGGCGUUACCCGCAGAAGAAGCACCGGCUAACGCCGUGCCAGCCGCCGCGGUAAUAC